UUUUCUCACGAAAUGAAUGGAUAUCUUGUUGCUAGGUGUGUAAACUAGAAACUAUCCUUGUUGUCAAGUAAUCUGGUUUUGUGAUUUAUUGGUUACCUGUCUAAACACAAUAGAGUAAUGAUGAACGCCUUAGCGUCUGGGAACCACUCAAGCGUUAUAUUAACUUCGGAUCACGUGCAAUAUUCACAGUUGAAUUUAAGGUGUACUGGCUAGCGUUUCAGAUCGAUGUUAAAUUGAAUAGCUAGAUUUACAUGCCACGUGGACGAUACAGAGCGCGCCAGGAACGUAGAGGCAAACCAGCUUGUUUGGAGGAUGUCCAAGGAAAGCAAACAAAAGACGGUGGAUUUGCCAAUAAAUCUCAUGCAUCAAACAAAUGCUGUACUUAUGUUACAGAUGAUAUGCUGCCAUUUGGAUGUUAACAUCGGAAGUGAACAGAAUGCAGGCACCUUACACAGAUACAAAAUUGAACAGAUUCCUGGGCUACAAAUCAAUCGUGAAACAGACAAAUCCAAUUUGGUAUUAACUUUUUCCAGAUGGCUGAUGAUGAGAAACCUAGAUGACAAUUUACCAAGUUAUGCAUUGAGGACCAAAAGAAAAAAGAAAAAAUAUAGACAUUUUAGUUAUACUGAUAAGAAUUUAUUUAAAGUGAAUCUAAAACUCAAAUUAAUCUUCUUUAUCGUUAUACUGAUGUCACUCCUAAUAUAUUAAGGGCCGAGAAAAAUUCUGUCGACCGCGGGGGCGAUCGGGCGUGCUUACGAACGUUGUCAUAGUAUGGAUGUUACUGUGUAAAAGGUAUUGCUCUAGUGCUUUGGCAAUAUCUGACUAGCCUUGCUUAAAUGUGUCAUAGCCUUGCUUAUGUCAUAGCCUUGCUCAUUAUAGUAUAGUUGCCUUGCUUAGAAUUACAGUACGUUGCCUUGCUCCGUUGGUCCGCUAAAUAUUCCUUCAUUACUUUGGCAGCCAACCGUCGAGUUAUGGGGAAUGUUUAAUUUACUGUGGUGUACUGUAGCCUUGCUCCGUUGGUCCGCUAAAUAUUGUGGUGUACUGUAGCCUUGCUCGCUUUGCUUAGAAUCACAGUACGUUGCCUUGCUCCGUUGGUCCGCUAAAUAUUGUGGUGUACUGUAGCCUUGCUCGCUUUGCUUAGAAUCACAGUACGUUGCCUGGCUCCGUUGGUACGCUAAAUAUUCCUCAUUACUUUGACAGCCAACCGUCGAUUUAUGGGGGUGUUUGGUUUACUUAGGUGUACUGUGGUAUCCCUUGCGUUCGUGUGGUGCUGACUGUUGCUUCCACAGCAAACCGUGGAGUAAUGGUGUGGUGCUUUACAGGCGCGUCUGGUUUCCUCCCGGUCGACAGGGUUACUACAAACAAUGGAGUGGCCAAACUUUGCCAUACUAUUUAUAAUAACUUUCAUAUAUAAGUAUGAAUUACAUAAUUAAAGUUGUUGCUUGUAGUAUCAUAUGCACCUAUAAUCAGUAUAGCCUAUGUGAAUGUCAUAAUACCUAAAUGUACAAAUAAACAUGUAGUAAACUGUGAAUAUUGCAGUUGUUUCUUGUGUAGAAUUUCGGGUAGUAAAAUAAAAUCUAUUUAUAGUAACAACAAAGGGAUGUAAUUCUAAAAACAAGGGUGCCUCAUGGUGGUGAACAUUUGGUCCAAGUUACAUCAAAAUCCCUCCAUGCAUGAAGAAGAAAUGUUCCAUACAAAGUCAUUCUUGAAUUUGACCUUUGACUUCUAAAUAUGACCUUGACCUUAGACCUAGGGACCUGGUUCUUGCGCAUGGCAUGUUGUCUCAUCCAGGGGAAUAUUUGUGCCAACUGAUAUCUAAAUCCUGCUUUGCAUGACAAAGUUAUAGACCGGACAGGAAAAAAAUCCUCUUGACCUUUGAUCUCAAAGUGUGACCUUGACCUUUAAGCUAGGGUACUGGGUGUUGCACAUGACAUGUCGUCUCAUCAUGGGAAACAUUUGUGCCAAGUAAUAUUAAAAUCCCUUCAUGGAUGGGAGAGUUAUGGACGGGACAGGAAAAAAACUCUGUUGACCUUUGACCCCCAAUUGUGACCUUGACCUUUGAGCUAGGGGUCCGGGAUUUGCGCAUGACACGUCGUCUCAUCAUGGGGAACACUUGUGCUAAGUAAUAUUAAAAUCCCUUAAUGAAUGUCAGAGUUAUGGACCGGACACGAAACAGACCCUGUUCAUGCUAUGUUAACAUUUGACUGCUAAGUGUGACCUUGACCUUUGAGCUAGGGGUCUGAAAGUUGUGCAUGGCAUAUCGUCUUAUUAUGAGGUACAUUUGUGCCAAGUAAUAUUAAAAUCCCUUCAUAGAUGGGAGAGUUAUGGACCGGACAGGAAAAAAACCUUGUUGACCUUUGACCUCCAAUUGUGACCUUGACCUUUAAGCUAGGGGUCCAGGUUUUGCGCAUGACACGUCGUCUCCUCAUGGGGAACAUUUGUGCCAAGUAAUAUUAAAAUCUCUUCAUGGAUGGGAGAGUUAUGGACCGGACAGGAAAAAAGCCCUGUUGACCUUUGACCUCCAAUUGUGACCUUGACCUUUGAGCUAGGGGUCCGGGAUUUGCGCACGACACAUCAUCUCAUCAUGGGGAACAUUUGUGCCAAGCAAUACUAAAAUCCCUUCAAGGAUGGGAGAGUUGUGGACCGGACAGGAAAAAAGCCCUGUUGACCUUUGACCUCCUAUUGUGGCCUUGACCUUUGAGCUAGGGGUCUGGGUUUUGCGCAUGACACGUCGUCUCAUCAUGGGGAACAUUUGUGCCAAGUAAUAUUAAAAUCCCUUCAUGGAUGACAGAGUUAUGGACCGGACACGAAAUUGUGGACGGACGGAAUGACGGAAUGACGGAAAGACGGAAUGAC